UUGUAAGGCUGAUCUGGUGUCAGUGAAUUCCUUUAGUGCUUGCUUAUCGGAGAAAUAUUUUACUUCUCAUUUGCUUAUGAAGCUUAGUUUGGUGGGAUAUGAGAUUCUUGGUUGGAAUUUCUUUUCUUUAAAAAUGCUGAAAAUAGGCCAGGCGUAGUGGCUCACACCUGUAAUCCCAGCACUUUGGGAGGCAGAGGCGGGCGGAUCACGAGGUCAGGAGACCGAGACCAUCCUAACACGGUGAAACCCCGUCUCUACUAAAAAUACAAAAAAUCAGCCAGGUGAGGUGGCAUGUGCCUGUAGUCUCAGUUACUCAAGAGGCUAAGGCAGGAGAAUCGCUUCAACCCGGGAGGCGGAGGUUCCAGUGAGCAGAGAUCGCACCACUGCACUCCAACCUGGGCGACAGAGCGAGACUCUGUCUCAAAAACAAACAAACAAAAAAUGCUGGAAAUAGAUCCCCAAUCUCUUCUGAUUCUCAAGGUUACUGCUGAGAGGUCUGCCGCUAGCCUGAUGGGGUUUCAUUUGUAGGUGAAUGUUAUCAGGUGACCUGUGAAAAGGAUGUCCAUAGGCUCAAAGGUAAAAUUUCAUCUUCCAGACACUAAAUGAGUGAUCUAGAGAGAAGGCUGAACUGAGUAAAGCUAAGCUAAAGAUCUGAAAGUUAGCCCGAAAGCCACGUGAAAUUAUGGAAUAACUUUAAGGAGCUACAUAUUUGUGUGCAGCAAGAUCUUCAUCAAAAUAAUUUACAGUAGAUUGAAGGCAGAGAAGAUAUGAAAAAUGAAAAUCCAACCAUCUGAAGACAUUGAAAGAAUUUGUAAAAAAUGUAAAACAGUAACAUUCUUCUCAUGAAUUUAUUUUUAGAAUAUAUAAUUUCCCAUAUUUAAAAGUAGGCUAGUUAUGUUAACAAGUAACAGGAUAUUCAUGUUAUUUUAUAUAAAUAAAUAAUCAAAUAUGUUAAAAUGUAUCAGUAAUAAUUUUUAAUAUGGUGAAUGUCAGUACAUAUAACUCAUAUACACAAAAGCUCUUUGAGGUUCUCAGCAAUGGAUUAUAAAGAAAUUCCUGUUACUAAAAUGCUUGAGAACUCCUUGCUGAAGAAAAUCUAAUAAAUGAACAAUGAGACAAGAAGGUAGCUGUCAUAAAGUGUUUGAGAUAAUAACUUGGACCUCUUUUGUUUUUACCUUCUCAGCAUCUAAUUCUUUUUUUUUUUCUUUGAUAGAAGCACUCCACUUUUGCUUUGAACAGCCAUACUGCUUCUCUGUUUUAAUUAGGGUUUAUCUUAAUUCCUAGCUGAGAGAUAGACAUUCUAUCUAGGCAUAGUAAAUAAGUAUACUCUAUAAGCCCAUCUCCUCAUCUCUCAGCCAGAGUGAUUAAUCAAAAAUAGACAUAAGCCAAUGAGAUUCAAUUCUUAGACUUUUUAAGGAAACCUUGGAAAAGCGGCAGGUUCUUUUUGUUGGGGUUGAUAAGCCAAUAGGCUUUUUGCUAGAAGUGUUGUUGGCAACAUUGUCAACAUUUGGAGACAUCUUUCUCAGAAUGAAAGCAUUGCAGAGGAAAAUAGAGAGAUAGUGUGAAACAUAACUUUAAUUCCAUCAUUUUUGAAACAAUUCCAAGCCAUGUCAAUUUUGUGAGGCAGUAAAUUUCUUGUUUGCAAAAAUGUGCUUGAGAUGGAUUUUUCUCACUUACAUCUGUAAAGAUCCUAUUGAGUAUUCCUCCAGAAAGAAUAAGAAUCAUGAUUAAACAACUAUAUUCUUAAUUUAAGUAAGAAUUUCUGACAAUCAGUAUUUUACCAGCCAUGGUUCAAAUUGCCUCAUGGUAUUAUGUAAUUUUUUUUUUUUUUUAGAUGGAAUCUUGUUCUGUCGCCCAGGCUGGAGUGCAGUGGCAUGAUCUCAGCUCACUGCAACCUCUGCCUCCUGGGUUCAAGAGAUUCUCCUGUCUCAGCCUCCCAAGUAGCUGAGAUUACAGGUGCGCGACACCAUGCCUGACUAAUUUUUCUAUUUUUAAUAGAGACAGAAUUUCACCAUGUUGACUGGGCUGGUCUCAAACUCCUGACCUCAGGUGAUCCACCAGCCUCGGCCUCCCAAAGUGCUGGGAUUACAGGCGUGAGCCACCACGCCUGGCGUGUAUUAGGUAAUUUUUGAGUUGGAAGAAAAUUUGGAAAAUAAAGGGCUCAACACCUUUGUUUUAAAAGUAAAGAAACUGUAAUUCAAGUUUUUCAUGUUAUUUCUAUAUCCCUAAUUAGUGGUAAAGAAAAAAAUGAUUUCAUUGUUACUAUACACAUGUAUAAACAUCCAAUGACAGUGUUUCAGUGACUGUACAGAUCUAAAGCAUUCCAAAAAAUGCUGGUAGGCUGAGCCAUAUGAGUUUUAGAGACCUAUAUAAUUUCAAGAUUAUACAAGUAAUAGUAAAGAAGACUAAAUAAAGUAGAGAGUUAAAGGAAUUAUGGCAAAGCCUAUAAUUGAAAAUUAAAAUAUAAUGAUCAUAUUUAAGCAGUCAAUUUUGACUCAGAUCUAUACAAUCUUGCCUUCAUAUUAUUUCUCUUGGUCAUUAAAAAUUCAGUUCUAGGGAUUAUUCAUAAGAAAAUGUUUAGAUUAUAAUCUCUGUGUGUGUGUGUUUGUCUGUGUGUGUGUGUGUUUGUUCCAGGUUUAAUAUAACAUACAUUGUAAUGCACUUUUAGCAAAUGUAGCAGUUUCCUUGAAUUUAUACUCUAUAUUGAACUAUUUUCCAAUACAUAAGAUUUUUUAGGUAGAAAUCUAGGAAUUACUUAUUUCAUUCUGUUAGUUUAAUGUGGAUUGCGUUUAAAUCAACACCAGUUUAAUUCCGAUUGUGUUGUGCAUAUGUAAAUGAGUCAUACCAUUACUGGAUUGAAAUAUACAGUAGCUUGAGUACUUUGCCUAUUCAUGCACCACAGAAUGGUAUUACAGCACAUAUUAUAUUAUUUAUAUUCUAUUGCCUUGCAUUUUUUCUUUUAGGCACCUCUGAUUUGAAUAUAAUUUUCUUUAAAUUACAAAGGAAUUAAUUCAUCUUUUGACAAAUACACUUUAUUCUUCCUAGAUAUUGAUCAUUUCAGUUAUUCCAAUUGAAUUUUCACUAAAUUAACUUCAGUCUCUUGAAAGGAAGGGCCUUAGAUUCUUUAUAAAAGUCCAGUAUAGACAAUUUUUCUAUUCACUAAAAUAUGACAUUCUGCAAAUACAUGUAUGCUAAUCUACAAAAAGAGCAAAUGAAUUUCCUAUUUGAAAACAUAAGAAACAUAACAAAUUUAAUGAAAUGCAAAAAAUAAGGCUAAAUACCUUAGGGCACAAAUUUAAUUUAUUUCAGGUUUACCCAGCAGUGCUACAAUUCUAUUGACGAAAGGUGAAGCUCAACUUUGAAGAUACAGUUAUAGUAAAUAAAAUUGAGAAAAGAAAAAAAAAGCCAAGUGAAGAGGAGACAGGGUGAAAAAACGCCAGUAAUUCUAUGUAUUUGGCUAUCUCCUCAUUUAUAGUAAUGGUUCUCAAACUUAGAAAUCAUUUGAGGGUCAUAUUAAAUAUUCAAUUACAUGGGCUGUAUAAACAAACAUUCUGACUCAGUGUGCUAUGGUGAGAGCAUGGGAAUCUGUGUUUUUGACAAACAUACUUGGGAAUUCUGAUGGAGAAAUUUCAAUGUUACAUCGGCAAAACAAAUUUCUAUAGUUCAUAUAUGAACUCCAAUUGAAUCAUAUAAAUUACAUAAAUUAGUAUUCUAAGUUUCAAAAAGGUAGUAAAAGAUAUUCAAGAAAUAAUUGUCUAGCUGAAUGUCAAUUCUAUGUGCUCGAUUUGCCAAAUUCUUCAGUGGAAAAUAGAAGAAAUAAACAAAACAAAAUAAAAUGAAUGAGAGACAGAAAGACACUCCUUUGCUUAAAAAACAGGGUGAAACAUGAAACACCUUUUUCUCAUCUUAGUGACUUCUGUCUAAUACUAAAUCCCUUAUAAAUUGCAGUUGUACUGUAAUUGAUUUCAUUCUUAGCAAAAUAUCAAAUCCUCUUGGGGAAAAACAAAGAAAAGUGAGAUUAGCUAAGGAAACAGGAAAAAAAAUUCUAUUUCAAUGAUUAAAAUUUACGCCUCAGGAAUUAAGCAAGCUUGAUGCUUUCCUGGAUUUACAGCAUUUCAUUUGUUACUGCCAUUAGCUUUAACUGCUUUGGGAAAAUUUAACAACAGAGCUAUAGCAUGGCUUACAACCAUCAUGAGCUUCAAAGUUUCAAGAGCAUGCGAAACAUUUCCUUGCAAACUCUGCUUUAAUAGGAUUACAUGGAUAACUUCCUUGAAUAUUUAUUUCCACUACAAAUCAGGUAGGAUACAUUUUAAUGACAUAUUUAAAAUGUUGUCAUCUUACAGCUGAAGACAAUGACGUUUAGAAACGUGUACCUUUUUAAAAAAUGAAUUGCAAGCUUUAAAACUUUCUCAAAAAUGGGAAGCUAAUUCCAAUAUGCAUAGUGUCUUCAUUCAACAAAUUGAAAAGCAAAAUUUAUGAAAUAAUAGUAUUGCAUAUCAGUUUAGCAAAGAAUUUGGAAAAAUGAGAUUAAACACAAUCAUAUAAGCAUAAAGCUAAAGUAGCCUUCCCAAUAUUUCACAAUAUUUGCUAUGAAACAUUUUUCACUUCUGAAAUGGCAAUUAUGAUAUACAGUAGGAAUGGUAUCUCUCUCAGUUCUCAUGCAUAAAAAAUAAACUGCCAAUGCAUAAUUAAUGCAAAUAAUGAAAUUGGAACAAGAUCCCAGGUCUUGUUCAGAUUAAUGCCAAUUGCCUGAAUUGUACAUGUUCUAAUAAUUUAUAUCAGAUUUUGACUGAAUUUCUUUAAUAUUUUCCUACUUAAACAUUUUUAAUGUAAAAAAUGAUGACAUGUUUUAAAUGUAGGCAAUUUAAGUUUGUGUGUGUGUGUGUGUGUGUGUGUGUAUGUGUGUGUGUGUGUGUAAUUUUAAAGUCUGAAAACUUGCUGGAGUUUACAAUCAGCCUGGAGGUGACUUGAAUAAAGUUGUUAACUAAUGAAAAAGGUAGUUCUUAAUGUGAAUCUGCAUAUGCUCAUCACUCUCCUGAAGGACAUUUAUUCAAUUUGAGUUUCAAAGCUAAUUGGAAGUCAUGGUAGGUUGAUAAAUAUUGGAAAUAAGGCUAAUAUUGCCAUAGCAUUUAUUACUAUUUCAUUAAUUUUGUAGUGAAGAAAUAUCUGAACAUUCUUUCUCUGUAAAUAGUACAUUUCUCAUUACAUGAGUGAACCACAAUAUUUUUGGAAAAUUGGUCAGUAUUUGAAUAGCAUCCUCAUGACUUUAUAAUUAAAAUCUUGCUCAUAAUUAAAAAUGGAACAACC
rnacentral:lncRNA from 10 species